GACGAACGCUGGCGGCGUGCUUAACACAUGCAAGUCGAACGGAAAGGCCCUGCUUUUGUGGGGUGCUCGAGUGGCGAACGGGUGAGUAACACGUGAGUAACCUGCCCUGGACUUUGGGAUAACUUCAGGAAACUGGGGCUAAUACCGGAUAGGAGCUCCUGCUGCAUGGUGGGGAUUGGAAAGUUUCGGCGGUUGGGGAUGGACUCGCGGCUUAUCAGCUUGUUGGUGGGGUAGUGGCUUACCAAGGCUUUGACGGGUAGCCGGCCUGAGAGGGUGACCGGCCACAUUGGGACUGAGAUACGGCCCAGACUCCUACGGGAGGCAGCAGUGGGGAAUAUUGCACAAUGGGCGGAAGCCUGAUGCAGCAACGCCGCGUGCGGGAUGACGGCCUUCGGGUUGUAAACCGCUUUCGCCUGUGACGAAGCGUGAGUGACGGUAAUGGGUAAAGAAGCACCGGCUAACUACGUG
rnacentral:rRNA from 1 species